UAAUACAGAGGUGGCAAGCGUUGUUCGGAAUUACUGGGCGUAAAGGGCGCGUAGGCGGCCUUCUAAGUCGGACGUGAAAGCCCCAGGCUUAACCUGGGAACUGCGUCCGAUACUGGGAGGCUUGGAUUCGGGAGAGGGAUGUGGAAUUCCAGGUGUAGCGGUGAAAUGCGUAGAUAUCUGGAGGAACACCGGUGGCGAAGGCGGCAUCCUGGACCGAGAUCGACGCUGAGGCGCGAAA
rnacentral:rRNA from 1 species